rnacentral:rRNA from 1 species
ACUACGGGAGGCAGCAGUGAGGAAUAUUGGUCAAUGGGCGCGAGCCUGAACCAGCCAAGUAGCGUGAAGGAUGACUGCCCUACGGGUUGUAACCUUCUGUUAUAAAGGAAUAAAGUGAGGCACGGGUGCAUUUUUGGAUGUAAUUUAUGAAUAAGGAUCGGCUAAAGCCGUGCAAGCAGCCGCGGUAAUACGGCGGAUCCGAGCUUUAUCCGGCUUUAUUGGGGUGAAAGGGGGCGUAGAUGUGUUGUUAAGUCAGUUGUGUAAGUUUGCGGCUCAACCGGAAAAUUUCAAUUGAUACUGGCAGCCUUGCGUACAGUUGAGGUCGUCUGACUUCGUGGUGUAGCGGUGAAAUGCUUAGCUAUCAC